AUUGAACGCUGGCGGCAGGCCUAACACAUGCAAGUCGAGCGGAUGAAGAGAGCUUGCUCUCUGAUUUAGCGGCGGACGGGUGAGUAAUGCCUAGGAAUCUGCCUGGUAGUGGGGGAUAACGUCCGGAAACGGGCGCUAAUACCGCAUACGUCCUACGGGAGAAAGCAGGGGACCUUCGGGCCUUGCGCUAUCAGAUGAGCCUAGGUAGGAUUAGCUAGUUGGUGAGGUAAUGGCUCACCAAGGCGACGAUCCGUAACUGGUCUGAGAGGAUGGUCAGUCACACUGGAACUGAGACACGGUCCAGACUCCUACGGGAGUCAGCAGUGGGUAAUAUUGUACAAUGGGUGCAAGCCUGAUCCAGCCAUGCCGCGUGUGUGAAGAAGGUCUUCGGAUUGUAUAGCACUUUAAGUUGGGAGGAAGGGCAGUAAGUUAAUACCUUGCUGUUUUGACGUUACCGACAGAAUAAGCACCGUCUAACUUCGUGCCAGCAGCCGCAGUAACAC
rnacentral:rRNA from 1 species